rnacentral:rRNA from 1 species
UACGGAGGGGCGAGUGUUGUUCGGAAUUACUGGGCGUAAAGGGCGCGCAGGCGGCCUGGCAAGUCGAGUGUGAAAUCCCUUGGCUUAACUGAGGAAUGGCGCUCGAAACUACCUCGCUGGAGGGCGGGAGAGGGAAGUGGAACUCUCGGUGUAGGGGUGAAAUCUGUAGAUAUCGAGAGGAACACCGGUGGCGAAGGCGGCUUCCUGGCCCGUACCUGACGCUGAGGCGCGAAGCUAGGGGAGCGAACGGGA